rnacentral:tRNA from 1 species
GACACUAUGGCCGAGUGGUUAAGGGUAAGCGAUUCCCAUUCGCCCGCACAGGUUCAAGUCCUGUUGGUGUCG